rnacentral:rRNA from 1 species
GGAAUUGACGGGGAGCACCACAACGGGUGGAGCUUGCGGUUUAAUUGGAUUCAACGCCGGAAAUCUUACCGGGACCGACAGCAAUAUGAAGGCCAGGCUGAAGACUUUGCCGGAUUAGCUGAGAGGUGGUGCAUGGCCGUCGUCAGUUCGUACUGUGAAGCAUCCUGUUAAGUCAGGCAACGAGCGAGACCCACGCCAACAGUUGCCAGCUCGUCCUCCGGGAUGGUGGGGACACUGUUGGGACCGCCUCUGCUAAAGAGGAGGAAGGAAUGGGCAACGGUAGGUCAGCAUGCCCCGAAUUAUCUGGGCUACACGCGGGCUACAAUGGGUGGGACAAUGGGUAUCGACACCGAAAGGUGAAGGCAAUCUCCUAAACCCAUCCGUAGUUCGGAUUGUGGGCUGCAACUCGCCCACAUGAAGCUGGAAUCUGUAGUAAUCGUGUCUCAAAAUGGCACGGUGAAUAUGUCCCUGCUCCUU